UUCCCAGUCUAAUUCACACACGAAUGUGCUUGAUCGAAAAAACAGUGUUUGAGGUAGAACUGGAGGA